rnacentral:rRNA from 1 species
GACGAACGCUGGCGGCGUGCUUAACACAUGCAAGUCGAACGGAAAGGCCCUGCUUUUGUGGGGUGCUCGAGUGGCGAACGGGUGAGUAACACGUGAGUAACCUGCCCUUGACUUUGGGAUAACUUCAGGAAACUGGGGCUAAUACCGGAUAGGAGCUCCUGCUGCAUGGCGGGGGUUGGAAAGUUUCGGCGGUUGGGGAUGGACUCGCGGCUUAUCAGCUUGUUGGUGGGGUAGUGGCUUACCAAGGCUUUGACGGGUAGCCGGCCUGAGAGGGUGACCGGCCACAUUGGGACUGAGAUACGGCCCAGACUCCUACGGGAGGCAGCAGUGGGGAAUAUUGCACAAUGGGCGGAAGCCUGAUGCAGCAACGCCGCGUGCGGGAUGACGGCCUUCGGGUUGUAAACCGCCUUCGCCUGUGACGAAGCGUGAGUGACGGUAAUGGGUAAAGAAGCACCGGCUAACUACGUG